AUACGGAGGGUGCAAGCGUUACUCGGAAUCACUGGGCGUAAAGCGCGCGCAGGCGGUCUUUUAAGUUGGAUGUGAAAGCCUACGGCUCAACCGUAGAACUGCAUCCAAAACUAUUAGACUAGAGUGUGGGAGAGGAAGAUGGAAUUAGUUGUGUAGGGGUAAAAUCCGUAGAGAUAACUAGGAAUACCAAAAGCGAAGGCAAUCUUCUGGGACACUUCUGACGCUGAGGCGCGAAAGCGUGGGGAGCAAACAGGAUUAGAAACCCGAGUAGUCC
rnacentral:rRNA from 1 species